rnacentral:rRNA from 1 species
ACGUGGCGGAGGCUACAAUGCUGUUGAACGCCCUUCGGGUGAGCGCAGGACGGGUAUAGUACGCGUGGGAACGUGCCCUUCUCUACGGAAUAGCCUCUGGAAACGGAGAGUAAUACCGUAUACGCCCUUUGGGGGAAAGAUAUAUCGGAGAAGGAUCGGACCGCGUUAGAUUACGUAGUUGGUGGGGUAACGGUCUACCAAGCCUACGAUCUAUAGCUGGUUAUAGAGGAUGAUCAGCAACACUGGGACUGAUACACGGCCCAUACUCCUACAGGGAGGCAAGCAGUGGGGAAUCUUAGACAAAUAGGGGGCAACCCUGAUCUAGACCAUGCCGCGUUGAAUGAUGAAGGCCUUAGGGUCGUCAAGCUCUUUCCGCCUGUGAAAGAUAAUGACAAAAGCAGAGUAAGAAAACCCGGCUAACUACCGGUGAACAACAAGCGCAGGAUAACACCGAGGGGGUUAAACUCGUUCGGAAAAACCGGGGACCGUAAAAGCGGCAGCAUCAGGCCGGAUAAGAAAAUGGAAGUGAAAUCCGGGGAUCAACGCCUGAAAUGUCUCAAAAUGGUAGUCAGAGAAGAAAAAAGGAGUGGAUUCCAAGUGU